AAAAGCAAGAAACAGAGACAGAAAGAGAAGGAGAUUUUGUCAGCUGAUUGUGGAUGAUCCCUGCUGCAACAUUUUUUUUUUUUGGCUCGUUCCUUCUUCCUUCUUCCUUCUUCUAUUGUAUUAU
rnacentral:ribozyme from 1 species